CCUACGGUGGCUGCAGUGGGGAAUAUUGGACAAUGGGCGAAAGCCUGAUCCAGCCAUGCCGCGUGUGUGAAGAAGGCCUUCGGGUUGUAAAGCACUUUCAGUGGGGAAGAAAGCCUUGGGGCUAAUACCCUCGAGGAAGGACAUCACCCACAGAAGAAGCACCGGCUAACUCCGUGCCAGCAGCCGCGGUAAUACGGAGGGUGCGAGCGUUAAUCGGAAUUACUGGGCGUAAAGCGCGCGUAGGCGGUCUGAUAAGCCGGUUGUGAAAGCCCCGGGCUCAACCUGGGAACGGCAUCCGGAACUGUCAGGCUAGAGUGCAGGAGAGGAAGGUAGAAUUCCCGGUGUAGCAGUGAAAUGCGUAGAGAUCGGGAGGAAUACCAGUGGCGAAGGCGGCCUUCUGGACUGACACUGACGCUGAGGUGCGAAAGCGUGGGUAGCAAACAGGAUUAGAUACCCUAGUAGUC
rnacentral:rRNA from 1 species